rnacentral:lncRNA from 1 species
AUGGUUUGAGCCCGAUUCGCUAGAGUUAAUCUGUUUGGACCAAUUGAUCUAUUGGUGUCUAAGAUAAGUUAAUGAGAUAUGGUUAUUUAAUUGGUUUUGUUUGCUUAUCUGGCCAAUUUAUUAGUGUCUAAGGAAAGCAAUGGGGGAACCCCCACUGAUCUCCACUUAUCUGGCCAAUUUGGAAGAUUGGGUCUUAAAUUGAGUUGCUUAGCAGUUUGGUUUAGCCCAUGCCAAUU